rnacentral:lncRNA from 1 species
CCCAUUCACCAUCGGAGAUAGGACAAAUCAUCCCGGCCUCCAAUAGUUCAACAACUUCCUUCUUUUUCAGCACUCGUAUCAAUUGAUUCUCCUCUUUUGUGGACAAGGUAUUGCUAAUGAUCACCGGUUUAGUGCAGUCAUCACCAAGGAACACAUACUUCAAAUGUGGCUCUAGUUUUGGCUCUUCCACUUUCUUUGUCAUAUCCAAGCCUUCGUUUGUCUAUUCAUGAUAAACAAGCUCUCCAC